AUACGGAGGGUCCAAGCGUUAUCCGGAUUCAUUGGGUUUAAAGGGUCCGCAGGCGGGAAAAUAAGUCAGUGGUGUAAGCCUACAGCUCAACUGUAGAACUGCCAUUGAUACUGUUUUUCUUGAGUAUAGAUGAAGUGGGCGGAAUAUAUCAUGUAGCGGUGAAAUGCAUAGAUAUGAUAUAGAACACCGAUUGCGAAGGCAGCUCACUAAACUAUUACUGACGCUCAGGGACGAAAGCGUGGGGAGCGAACAGGAGUAGAAACCCUAGUAGUCC
rnacentral:rRNA from 1 species